GCCGGGCGUGGUGGCGGGUGCCUGUAGUCCCAGCUACAUGGGAGGCUGAGGCAGGAGAAUCGCUUGAACCAGGGAGGCGGAGGUUGCAGUGAGCCGAGAUCGUGCCAUUGCACUCCACCCUGGGCGACAGAGCGAGAUUCUGUCUCAAAAUCUUUUUUUUUUUGAGACAGAGUCUCGCUCUGUCGCCCAGGCUGGAGUGCCGUGGCACGAUCUCACUGAAACCUCCUCCACCUCCUGAUUCAAGUGAUUCUUGUGCCUCAC
rnacentral:sRNA from 1 species